rnacentral:rRNA from 1 species
GACGUAGGGCGCGAGCGUUGUCCGGAUUUAUUGGGCGUAAAGAGCUCGUAGGCGGUGUGUCACGUCGGCCGUGAAAACUUGCAGCUUAACUGUGGGCGUGCGGUCGAUACGGGCAUCACUGGAGUUCGGCAGGGGAGACUGGAAUUCCUGGUGUAGCGGUGAAAUGCGCAGAUAUCAGGAGGAACACCGGUGGCGAAGGCGGGUCUCUGGGCCGAUACUGACGCUGAGGAGCGAAAGCGUGGGGGAGCAAACAGG